UUGUGUUAACCUAUAGGUAUUAUUACAACUUUACCAUAUAGUAUUUCAUUUGUAUUCAUACACUGCAAUGGAAAGAGUUAAUUGAAUAUACCAGCCUAUAAAUACAACUAAAUACAGACAUUUCUUUAGUUUCUUUCAAAACAAGUCAUCUUUUUCUAUAUUUGUUAUGUUACCACGCUAAAACCAUUGCUAUUGGCUGUCUCCCCACGUUGCUUUGAACAUGAUUGGAUAAUCUGCCUGUCACUCAGAGAACUGGCCAAUGAGAACUGUCCGCGCCUCGGAUUUGAAAUUACGUCUGUUCGAGCGGGAAGCCGCAGCGGGGCAGGCGCUACUCGGCAGGUCUGCUAGUGUCUGCUGUUGACCUACCUGCAUUAUUACCUGAAGUAUUUUACAUAUGCCUGCGAUUUUAACUUGUGGGAUGUCAACGGAGAAAGAAAGACUGGGACACAGAGGAAGGAUCAUACGGGAUGUGGUGACCAGCAAAGUUACGUGAAUUGAUAUCCUGCAAAAUUAUUGAAGAUAUCAGCACUGGACCCUGAGCAGUGCAUGGCCUGCAAGAUCAUGAGAAGGCUGAAGAACCAGGAGUGACAAGAUACCACUGGAUGGUGGGGCACAUAAUUCCACUCGGACAGUGAUCUGAAAAUGUCUGUUUACCAACGGUCCCCAUCCAACCUGACAGAGCGUGUGAGGAUCUGCAGAAAAGAAUGGCAGAACAUCCCCAAAUCCAGGGUAUUGAGUGUAGAUUGAUGAGCUCAAUAAGGAUUGGAACAACAUUGACGGGGGGAAACACCCAAAGUCCAUCAC